rnacentral:sRNA from 1 species
UACAAGGUGGUAACCGGUAGAGAACGUGAAGGAUAACGUUGCUUUAGCAACGGCCCGAAGGGCGAGGCGAAGCCGAGUCAUCCUGCACGACCCACCA